GACGAACGCUGGCGGCGUGCUUAACACAUGCAAGUCGAGCGGUAAGGCCCCUUCGGGGGUACACGAGCGGCGAACGGGUGAGUAACACGUGAGCAAUCUGCCCAUCACAUCGGGAUAACUCCGGGAAACCGAAGCUAAUACCGAAUACGACCACCUCCGGCAUCGGAUGGUGGUGGAAAGUUCCGGCGGUGAUGGAUGAGCUCGCGGCCUAUCAGCUUGUUGGUGGGGUAACGGCCCACCAAGGCUUCGACGGGUAGCCGGCCUGAGAGGGUGACCGGCCACACUGGGACUGAGACACGGCCCAGACUCCUACGGGAGGCAGCAGUGGGGAAUAUUGGACAAUGGGCGAAAGCCUAAUCCAGCAACGCCGCGUGAGGGAUGACGGCCUUCGGGUUGUAAACCUCUUUCAGCAGGGACGAAGCGCAAGUGACGGUACCUGCAGAAGAAGCACCGGCCAACUACGUG
rnacentral:rRNA from 1 species